GGAGAGAUCGCAUAGUGGCCUAGUGCGCAUGCUUGGAAAGCAUGUGUGGGGUAAAACCCACCGAGGGUUCGAAUCCCUCUCUCUCCG
rnacentral:tRNA from 1 species